rnacentral:rRNA from 3 species
GCCUAGCCCUAAACCUUGGUAAUAUAUCACAUACCCUACCCGCCUGGGAACUACGAGCACCAGCUUAAAACCCAAAGGACUUGGCGGUGCUUUAGACCCCCCUAGAGGAGCCUGUUCUAGAACCGAUAACCCCCGUUCAACCUCACCCUUCCUUGUUUAUCCCGCCUAUAUACCGCCGUCGUCAGCUUACCCUGUGAAGGCCUAAAAGUAAGCACAACUGGUACAACCCAAAACGUCAGGUCGAGGUGUAGCGCAUGGAGGGGGAAGAAAUGGGCUACAUUCCCUAUAUUAGGGAACACGAACGGCGCACUGAAACACGCGCCUGAAGGAGGAUUUAGUAGUAAGCGGGAAAUAGAGUGUUCCGCUGAAAUCGGCCCUGAAGCGCGC